GACGAACGCUGGCGGCGUGCUUAACACAUGCAAGUCGAACGGUGAAAGCGGAGCUUGCUCCGCUGGAUCAGUGGCGAACGGGUGAGUAACACGUGGGCAACCUGCCCCUCACUUCGGGAUAACUCCGGGAAACCGGGGCUAAUACCGGAUAUGACCUCCUUGGGCAUCCUUGGAGGUGGAAAGUUUUUCGGUGAGGGAUGGGCCCGCGGCCUAUCAGCUUGUUGGUGAGGUAGUGGCUCACCAAGGCGACGACGGGUAGCCGGCCUGAGAGGGCGACCGGCCAGACGGGGACUGAGAAACGGCCCAGACUCCUACGAGAGGCAGCAGUGGGGAAUAUUGCGCAAUGGGCGAAAGCCUGACGCAGCAACGCCGCGUGCGGGAUGACGGCCUUCGGGUUGUAAACCGCUUUCAGCAGGGAAGAAGCCGCAAGGUGACGGUACCUGCAGAAGAAGCACCGGCUAACUACGUGCCAGCCGCCGCGGUAA
rnacentral:rRNA from 1 species